ACUCCUACGGGAGGCAGCAGUGGGGAAUAUUGGACAAUGGGGGCAACCCUGAUCCAGCCAUGCCGCGUGAGUGAAGAAGGCCCUAGGGUCGUAAAGCUCUUUCAACUGUGAAGAUAAUGACGGUAGCAGUAGAAGAAACCCCGGCUAACUCCGUGCCAGCAGCCGCGGUAAUACGGAGGGGUUAGCGUUGUUCGGAAUUUACUGGGCGUAAAGCGCACGUAGGCGGACUAUUAAGUUAGAGGUGAAAUCCCAGGGCUCAACCCUGGAACUGCCUUUAAUACUGGUAGUCUUGAGUUCGAGAGAGGUGAGUGGAAUUCCGAGUGUAGAGGUGAAAUUCGUAGAUAUUCGGAGGAACACCAGUGGCGAAGGCGGCUCACUGGCUCGAUACUGACGCUGAGGUGCGAAAGUGUGGGGAGCAAACAGGAUUAGAUACCCUGGUAGACUGUCA
rnacentral:rRNA from 1 species